GCCAGGUGUGGUGGUGCACACCUGUAGUCCCAGCUACUCAGGAGGCUGAGGCAGGAGGAUCACUUAAGCUCAGGGGUCAAGGCUGCAGUGAGUUGUGAUGACAUCAAUGCAUUCCAGCCUGGGCGACAAAGUGAGAUCCUGUCUCUA
ensembl:misc_RNA Metazoa_SRP Metazoan signal recognition particle RNA